GAAAAUCAUGAAACUUGUCCAUAUGUCAUGAUAUCAUAUGUAGAGGCUGUGAUAAAAUUUUGAGAAUGUUUCGAGAAAAUUGUGACGCACUAUAUUCUCGCUGCUUGUUCAUAUUAUUUGUUCAAAUUCAUAAUAUAAACUAAUACUUUUUAUUUAUCACUUGGGCAAGUCUUGGAAGGAUGUGGAGAAUACAGGGGGUCACGGCCGCAACCCCAAUGGCAUCCUCGGUCUUCUGUACAGGGAACACUUCCCUGAACUGGUUGAGUAUGCUGGAGUGAUGAGCCUAGCCUACACAUUCGACCACUAUGUCGUCGCCUCCAAUGCAGUAGGUCAGGACGACAGGGAAUUCAACAACAUGGCGGAGCGAGUGAAGUAAGAGUUGUGGAUUUCUUCGUAUGCGAGGCUGGAUACGAGGCCAAGGCGGAUGUGGUGGCCACCACGAGCUGUAAGAAGCUCGUCGUCGACAUGCACUACGAGGCCCGAAUCCAGGCCAUCGUCAGCUACCACGGCUCCGUCCUUGGGGAGAAGGUGACCAAGCAGGACGCCCGAACCAUGUCGUUAACUAGGGACCAAUACUUGCAGACGAUUCCUUAUUGGAGCGUCGUGCAUCCUCAGUGCUGGGAGCAGAUGGUGGAUAGGUGGUGCUCGCCUGAGUGGGACGAGGCGCACAACGCUAGCCGGGAACGACGUCUGAUGAUGCAAGGUCCCUCCCACUACCAAUGUAGCCGUAGCCUCGGCAAAUAUGCAGAAGCAUGG